UGUUUGUUGCUAAAAUUAAUGUAAAUUUUAUUUUAUUCUAAAGCUAAAACAGCAAAUUAUAAUGGCUUUAACAUCUCGCCAGAUUUCGUUUAGCUCUAGUGAUUCGGAUUCAGCAUCGGAGAUGCCAAGGGUAGUAAAAAAGAGAAAAAAAACCUAUAUACAACAUUACCAAGAUAAGUGGGAACAAGAUGAGCGGAUUAGGAACUGGCUUACAAAAAGUAAGAAAGGGUCUACUUUUGGCUAUUGUUGUCAGGUAUACAACCAGAGUAUACUUUGAAAUUGCCUAUUUAUGGCUUGUCAGACAUUGACAAAAGACAACUGAUGUUUAGUAGUUGUAGGUUGGGUUGUUGGUAUGACUUGCACUUAUGGAGAAUAAAGCAAGUAAUAAAAUAAUUAUAAUGUGUUAUUAAUCUAUCUCAUUAUUCAAGUGUACCCAAUCAAGUGCUCCCAAAUUACAAGUAGAAAAACAAAUAUAAAUUAACAUGGCGCAGUCCGGUAAAAAGCAAAAUUAAGUUUGGAGGUAGGGAAACCGCAUGGCCAUACCCCAGUUGGCCCCAAGUUCGUAAUAAAAUAAGCUAAUAUGGGUGACAGCCGAGGUAUUUCUCCAAUGCGGAUGCAAGGGAAUGUUGCGGAAAAUUGGAGAAUAUGGCGAAGCAGAUUUGAGAAUUACUUAAAGGCUUCAGAAGUCACUAAAAAGUCAGAAGAAGUACCGUGUGCCCAACUUUUACACUAUGUGGGCAAAGAAGGAUUUAACAUUUUUAGUACCUUCUCAUUUGGCCAAGAAGAAAAAGACAAGUUACAGCCUCUGCUCAGCAAAUUUGAGAUGCAUUUCAAACCUAAGGUAAAUUUAUCCUAUGAACGUUAUAUAUUUUUUACCAGGAGGCAACAGGCAGGGCAAACCCUAGAGCAGUUCAUAGUUGCUUUGAAAGAACAGGCACAAAAAUGUAAAUUUGAUGCCUUGGAGGAGGGUCUAAUUAAGUGUAUGGUUAUCUGUGGAGUUCGGAGUAACGAGCUCAGGGAAAAGCUUCUACAGGAUGACACUUUAACUUUAGACCAAGUAAUCGAGCAGUGCAAAAUUUUGGAAUUUGCCAAGGAGCAGAGCCGGGAGAUGCAGUCUGAAGAUACAUUCAAGGAUAUUAAUGAUAUUCAUAACAGAGCGAGAUUUGAGACAAGACUUCAAAAUAAGCAGGGCUCAAGAAAUGGACAAAAACAAAACCAGAAGCAGGAACAACUUCACCAUGGAGCUAGUCUAGGUAAAAAAGUUAUUUCAUGUACUAAAUGUGGUAGAACUCACACUUUAAAUAAUUGUCCAGCUUAUGGCAAAUUUUGUUUAAAAUGCAAAAAGAAAAAUCAUUUCUCAGUAGUAUGUAAAAAUUCUACAUCAGUACAUGAGGUAACAGAGGAAAACGAGAUUAAUUCUGUAGUAGAAAUUAAUGAAAGAAAUUACAUAGAUGCAUUUUUGUACAUUGAUGCAAUAGAAAGUAGGGAAAAUAAAAAUUGCAUGUCAGAAAAUGAAUGGUUUACAGAUCUGUUUGUAAAUAAUCAUAAAUUUAAAUUAAAAGUUGACACAGGUGCAAUGUGUAAUGUAUUAUCUUUAGACAACUUAAAACACUUAGGACUAUUUAAUAUACCAAUAAAAACUACAAAUUGCAGGCUUAGGUCAUACACAGGGGACAAUCUAAAAGUAGUAGGCAUAUGUGAAUUAAGUUGCAAGAAAAAUAAUAAAAUGUUUAAAUUGGAGUUUUAUAUUGUAGAAAGUAAUACACAGGCUAUUUUGGGCUUGUCCUCUUGCAUAAAUCUAGGAAUUAUAAAAAAGAUAGAAUCUUUAAAAAGUGAAAAUAAUGAGUAUAAAGACUUAUUAGAUAAAUAUAAAGAAAAUUUUGAGGGUAUAGGUUGUUUACCAGGUAAAUAUCACAUAAAAUUAAAAGAAAAUGCACAGCCAGUUGUUCAUGCCACAAGAAGAGUAGCUCUCCCACUGCUACCAAAAUUAAAAGAAAGCUUAGUGGAACUUGAAAAACAAAAAAUAAUUAAAAAAGUGGAAGGAGCAACUGACUGGGUUAAUGCUCUAGUUAUAGCUAGAAAACCAAAUGGUAAAAAAAAAAAAAAGAUCUGAAUGAAAGCAUACAGAGGGAACAAUGUUUAAUUCCAACGCUGGAAGAGAUUACAGCUAAAAUGGCUGGUGCCAAGGUUUUUUCUACAUUAGAUGCAACUUGUGGGUUUUACCAAAUUGCUCUUGACAAAGAAAGUACAGAUCUUUGUGUGUUUGGCACGCCAUUUGGGCGGUAUAAAUUUCUGAGAUUAUCAUAUGGAAUAAAGUCUGCACCUGAGGUUUUUCAACAUAAGUUUCGGGAAAUAUUUCAAGGUUGUGAAGGGACAGGAAUUUAUAUUGAUGACUUGGUAAUUUUUGGAAAAGAUAAAUUAGAACAUGAUCUGAGGUUGAUAAAGGUCCUAGAAACUGCAAAAUCUAAUAAUAUUAAAUUUAAUCUGGAAAAGUGUCAUUUAGGUAAAUCUAAUAUAAAGUACAUGGGACACCAAAUUUCAGGUGAUGGAGUGUCGUUAGAUGAGUCAAAAUUAGCAGCAAUAAAGCAAUUGAUAACACCUACAUGCAAAGAGGAUGUUCAGAGGGCUUUGGGAAUGCUUACUUAUGUUAGUAAAUUUAUUCCUAAUUUUUCAACAAAUUCAGAGCCUUUAAGAGCAUAACUGAAAACAGAUGUAAUCUUUACAUGGGGAUCUUUGCAGCAAAAAGCAUUUGAGAAUUUAAAAAAUAUCUUAACGUCAAGUCCAGUCUUACAAUUUUUUGAUAUACAAAAAGAAACAGUAAUUUCUGUAGACAGUUCAAAGUCAGGGGUAGGAGCAGUUUUGCUUCAAAAUAACUUACCGUGUGCAUUUGCCUCCAAAGCUUUAACUGAAACCCAAGAAAGAUAUGCGCAAAUUGAAAAAGAAAUGGCAGCAAUAUGCUUUGGUUUAAACAGGUUUCAUGAAUAUAUCUUUGGGAAAAAAGUUAAAGUGGAGACAGAUCACCAGCCUUUAAUAACAAUUUUUAAAAAGCCUUUAAAUAAGUGCCCUCCUAGACUUCAAAGAAUGUUAUUACAGGUACAAAAAUAUGAUUUAGAAGUAUACUAUAAGCCAGGCAAAAAACUUAUUAUAGCAGAUACUUUAUCAAGGGCUUAUAUUUAAGACAAAAGUUAUGAUAAUUUUGAUAAUGAAAUGCAGGCACAAGUAUGUCUUGUAGUGUCGGAAAUAAAUGUUACAGAAGGAAAAUUAAAUGAAAUUGAAAAAAUGACUUUAAGUGAUAAAACUCUACAGGAAUUAACAACUGUUAUUUUAAAUGGGUGGCCCAAUUCAAUUAAAAAAGUCAGGGAGUGUAUAAAACCCUAUUUUAAAUUCAGAGAUGAGUUCACUUUGCAUAAAAAUUUGAUUUUAAAAGGAAAUUGUCUAGUAAUACCUAAAAGUUUGCACAGUGAAAUGUUAAACAAAGUACACUAUAACUAUUUGGGUGUUAAAAAGUGUUUGGACUUAGCUAAAGGUUCAAUUUAUUGGCCCACAAUGUCUAAUGAUAUUAAACAAAAAAAUGAAUCAUGCUAUGUAUGUCAAAAACAUUCUAAAUCCCAAACUCCUGAACCCUUAAUAUGUCAUAAUAUACCCUUAAUCCCAUGGAAUAAAGUAGGUUGUGACUUGUUUGAGCUGUAUGGUGAAAAAUAUUUACUUUUAAUUGAUUAUUAUUCAAAAUAUAUUGAAAUAGAAAAGUUAAAUUUUGACACUUAUAGCUCUACAGUAGUACAAAUAAUGAAGUCAAUAUUUUCCCGACAUGGGAUUCCCAGAAUAGUUAUUUCUGAUGGUGGACCUCAGUUCAUGUCAGAAAUAUUUAAAAGAUUUACUAAAGAAUGGGAAUUUACUCAUCUUGUUAGAUCUAAAAAUAUGUUUAAAAAGGUCUUAGAGGAAAAGAAAGAUAUCUAUUUAGCUUUGCUGUAUUAUAGAAAUAUGCCAAUUUUUGACAAUGUUUCUCCAGCAAACUUAUUAAUGUCGAGAAAUCUAAGAACAACUAUUCCUGUCACUGAGCAAACCUUAAAACCAUAUGUAAUAGAUACUAAGAUUUAUACUAAGUUUUUGGAAAAAACACAACAGGCACAGUACAAUAAUUAUAAUAGGCCAGGAGUUAAAGAGUUACCAGACAUUUUGCCUAAUACCAAAGUUGUAAUUCAAUUAAAGCCUAAAGGUAUUUGGGUGCCUGGUAGGGUUGUCCAAAAACUUAGAGACAGGUCAUAUCAAGUAAAAACUGAUUCCGGCUCUAUAUUUAUUAGAAAUAGGAUUUUUAUAAAAGUUGUGCCUAGAUACUAAAGAUAUAGGGGUGAAAGAUGAAUAUAAAUCGAUUAGGUUCUUCUCAGACAAUGAGGGGGAUGAAGGUAAAAACAAAAAGUGUUUCUUAGAGUUAAGUGAAAGUGAACUAGGGAAUGAAAGUGAAAAUGAGUCAGAAGACACUGAGAUGUAUAGUGCAGAAAGUGAGGAUAAAGAAGAAAAAAAUUUAAAUCCUGUGGUUACUCGUAGAGGUAGAUUAGUUAGAGCACCUACUAGGUUAGAUCUUUAAGGAUGUAGUACUGUAAGUUAAUCAGGAUAAGAAUGUUUAUUUUUUUAAUUUUAUAAAAAAGGGAGAUGUCCGGUAUAUAACCAGAGUAUACUUUGAAAUUGCCUAUUUAUGGCUUGUCAGACAUUGACAAAAGACAACUGAUGUUUAGUAGUUGUAGGUUGGGUUGUUGGUAUGACUUGCACUUAUGGAGAAUAAAGCAAGUAAUAAAAUAAUUAUAAUGUGUUAUUAAUCUAUCUCAUUAUUCAAGUGUACCCAAUCAAGUGCUCCCAAAUUACAAAUAGAAAAACAAAUAUAAAUUAACAAUUGUAAGGCGUGCAAUAAAGACUUUGUAUGUGGUGAUCUGCGAUGCAGGAGACAUUAAAAUUUAUGACACUCUCCUACCAAAACCGAACAAUAUAACAGAUUCAAUUUCUUGCACCGAUGCUCAAGAAGACAUACUACCUCUGGCUGAAAUUCAAAAUGUUUCAACUACCAAAUCAAUACUUGCUAGCAAUGAAAAUCAUACAAUCAAUAAUAUAGCAGAUGAAUGUCCAGAAGAUGAAAAAGAAACACUAUCUCAUGUUAAAGAACAAAAUGUUGUAAUAACUGAAUUUGAUAGUGAUUAUGACAACAGAGCAUCGUCGUCAGAUAAUUAUAAUCCUGAAAAUGAAUCUGAUAGUACAAGCAGUUCUUCUAGUUGCUCCACUUGCUCUACAUCCUCAAGCUCUUCCAGUUCUUCUAAGGACACAAGCGAAGAAACAAAAAAACUUCCACUAAAAAGGAAAAAGAAAAACAUUGGAACUUGGAAAAAAAUAUCAGAAAACAAAAAAGACUUAGAGGAGAGGCAUACUUAAGUGUUAAAAAUAUAGAGAAACCAGCAAGUCCGUGAUGGCAAAGCGAAACAUAAAUGCCUCGAAUCUGUUUCAGAAGAGAAUAGGUCAAACAUUUAUGAAGAAUUUCGGCAACUCUCAUCAUUAGAUGAUCAGCGGAUUUUCAUUAUUCAUCAUGUUGAACAAAUACAAAAAAAAAGCACCAGAAAUAUAGAAACUUCCAGAAGGGUGAACACCUGUAAUUAUUUUCUUACCGUUUAUGGACAAAAAAAUAAAGUGUGCCGCGAAUUUUUCAUAUCUACACUUAAUGUAACAGAUUCAUUUAUAAGAAUAUCUUUACAAAAACGAUCUUCUACUGGAACAAUAGAAAAAGACCGCCGUGGCAAACAUACUCCUGCUAAUAAGUUAACUGAGGAUUGUUUGCAAAUGGUAGGUGAUCACAUUUUAUCAUUUCCUGCAGUUGAGUCCCACUACUGCAGGGCUUCAAGUAAAAAAAAUAUUUGGACCCUACCCUAAACUUGUCCAUAAUGCACAAUAUGUACAAAUCACAAUGCAAAGAAAAAAAUAUUCGCUCUGUUUCAAUCGAAAGAUACAGACAAGUUUUUAAAGAGUAUAACGUGGCCAAAGCCAAAGAAGAACCAGUGCAAGAUAUGUUUGGCACAGAAAAAUAUGACUGGAGAAGAAAAUGAAGCGCAAGAACAAACGUUCCAGCAACACUUGAGAAGAAAAAAAUUGGCACGCAAGGCUCGCAGUGCUGAUAAACUGGAAGCAAUAAACAAUUCUACUCUAUUAGCAUUCAAUUUUGACCUUGAAGCUGUACUCACAACUCUAAAAGGAUCUGCAGGACAGAUAUUUAUUUUACUUGCGCAAGUUAGCUGUUUAUAACUUGACAGUUUAUAAUAUUGGAGAUCAAGAUGGCAUUUGCUAUCUAUGGGAUGAAACCCAGGGUAAAAGGGGUUCAAAUGAAAUCGCUUCUUGUAUCUAUGAAUACGUAUGAUCUAAUCCAGAAGUUAGAAUGAUGUCAGAUGGCUGUGGUGGCCAGCAAAAGAAUUCAAAUUUUGCUGCUAUGUGUAUGCAGCUCAUUUCUGUUCAUCCUAGCUUGAAAAUCAUAGAUCAUUUUUCGAAAGCGGACACACUGAAAUGGAAUGCGAUUCCAUACAUUCCAAAAUUGAGCAGAAAGCUAAGCAUGUUCCUGUAUACAUUCCUGAAGGUUGGGCGCAAGUAAUACGAGAUGCUCGUAUGAAAGCACGCCCAUUUGAAGUGAGGAGCAGAAGCUUUGAUGAUGUUUAUGAUUUUAAAGAAUUUGCAGCGCAAAAAUUUGAGAUGAACAAAAUACCAUGGCGUAAGGUUUGCUGGAUUCGUUAUCUUAAAUCGGACAUGACGAAGGUGUUUUACAAAAUGGAUUUUGAACAAGAAUUUCAUGACAUAAACUGCAUGAAACAAUUUCGAGGUCGACCAAAAGUUUCACUUUAUACUCAAGCUCAUUUAAGCGUAUGAAUUUAGUUCCUUUUGUAUUUUCAGUAUUUUUUGAGAAAAUCUUUUUCGUUUUUAUAGUUUAUUUUGCCAAUGAUUUGGAAGUUUAAGUUGUUUUGUUUUCUUAGAUUUAUAGAUUAUGAUUUAGAGUUUAUCCUAGUUUCCCAAUGAAAAUAUACAUGUUUAUUUAUAUUUCAAAUCAAUAAAAAUAUUGAAAAUCA